UGCAUUUCAGUAGCUAUGCUGGUGGCCG
rnacentral:sRNA from 1 species